rnacentral:rRNA from 1 species
UACAGAGGUCUCAAGCGUUGUUCGGAUUCAUUGGGCGUAAAGGGUGCGUAGGUGGCGCUGUAAGUCAGGUGUGAAAUUUCGGAGCUUAACUCCGAAACUGCAUUUGAUACUGCGGUGCUCGAGGACUGGAGAGGAGACUGGAAUUUACGGUGUAGCAGUGAAAUGCGUAGAGAUCAUAAGGAAGACCAGUGGCGAAGGCGGGUCUCUGGACAGUUCCUGACACUGAGGCACGAAGGCCAGGGGAGCAAACGGG